CCACCUCCCUCCACCACCGAUGCAACGUUUUCAACGACGUUUCUUUCCCGCGCUUCGCGCUUUUACUGAGCUGGUGCAGAGCCUUUUGUGUUUUGUUUUUCUGGUCUGCGUGCGUUGUUAGUGCGCUUUAGAGUCAGUGGCUUGUAACUCUUUGUGGGUUCGUGCUAUUUUUGAGUCGGGUUUAGUUUUUCUUUCAGUUAAUGGUGCUAGAAGAGUUCUGGGAGGAGCCUGUCAGUGGAGACACCGAUAGGGUGGAAUUCGCGUUGUGCUGCAUUCCGCCUGAAGGAGAGAUUUUAUUAUUUUUGCGAGAUUUAGCCUAGCGCCUCCGCGGUUGAGAAUUGCGCCGGUGGGAGGGGCAGCGAAGAUGGGAGAAACGCCGGUUCCUGACAAUGUGGCAGAGCUCUUGGUGGUGCGGCACGGCGAAACAAGCUGGAAUGCUUUGGGCCGGCUUCAGGGGCAGGCAGAAUCGGACCUAAACGAACCUGGCAAGAAACAAGCGCAGGCAGUGGCUGACAAGUUAGCAAGCAUGGGUCUAGAAUUUGCUGCUGUAUAUACUUCAGAUCUACAUAGAGCUUUAGAUACAGCCCAAUCUAUUGCUGAAAAAUGCCAGUGCUCCAAGAUUGUUGUUAGAGAGGAUCUUCGUGAAAGAUGUCUAGGGGAUCUGGAGGGUCUGACACGCACUGAGGCGAGAACGGCAGCACCAGAGGCUUUAAAAGUGUUUAUGAAGAACGAUGACUCCCUUCCAAUACCAGGUGGAGGGGAGAGCCUGGAGCAGCUGUUUGUGCGUGUCCAAAAUAGUUUCGAACAAGUUGCUUUAGAGAAUCUUGGCAAAAGGGUUGUGGUAGUCACUCAUGGUGGAGUGUUGCGAACCAGCCACAUUAUUGCGAAAGGGCUGCCAUGUCCCGGCAAGGUCGUGAAUGCUUCCAUCAGCGUCUUCCACAUCUCUGAUGAUAAAGAUUGGACGAUCAUUUCAUGGGGUGACGUUAGCCACUUGCAGAACAUUGGGUUUCUGAAUACUGGAUUCGGAGGGGAUAAGCUAUCAGGGUAGAACUUCCGCUCUCAGCUCAUAAUUCAAACAUAUUAUUCCGAGCCUCAGUAGGCAUCGACCUGCUCGUGAGGUCUGCUACAAGUACCUCAUUUGAAAUCUACAACGACGCCACCUAGAGAAAGGGGCGUUUUGCUACAUGACCCAACCCAGGCCUACGUCUUUGCUGAUUUCUUCACAGCAGCAUUGGUAACCUUCUCCUUGAUUUUUGAUAGACGAGGAGACUUUUUGGGGCUAGGAUUUGCUGCAGCUCCAUUUUUUCUUUUGUUACCUACCCCAUGAUUUUCAAUCUCCUCGACAAUGCUUGCUUCUAUCCCCCCUGAGAAAAAUACACAGCCACGAAGUGUGGAGUUGAAUAUUUAAUAAAAAAGAACUGCGCAUUUUCAAGUGUUAGGGGGGUAUUGUAGCAGGCUUAUAUGGCAUUCAGAAACUAUUAUUAGCAAUGCAUGACUACUCUUGAAUUUAA